rnacentral:rRNA from 1 species
CGACGGUAAGGUAUUGGCUUACCGUGGCAGUGACGGUUAACGGGGAAUUAGGGUUCAAUUCCGGAGAGGGAGCCUGAGAAACGGCUACCACAUCUAAGGAAGGCAGCAGGCGCGCAAAUUACCCAAUUCUAACAGCAUAAGAGAGGUAGUGACAAGAAAUAACAGUACAAGGCAGUUAAAAUGCUUUGUAAUUGGAAUGAUAGAAAUUUAAAUACUUUUUAAAGUAUCAAUUGGAGGGCAAGUCUGGUGCCAGCAGCCGCGGUAAUUCCAGCUCCAAUAGCGUAUAUUAAAAUUGUUGCAGUUAAAAAGCUCGUAGUUGAAUUUUUGCUAAAAAUAACCGGUCUGCUUUUAUUAAUAAAAGUGGUAUCUUGGUGUGUUUUUAGCAAUAAUGUCCUUUGAAAUGUUUUUUACUUUAAUGUAAAAAACAAUUUUCAGGAUUUUUACUUUGAGAAAAUUAGAGUGUUUCAAGCAGGCUAACGUUUUGAAUACUGCAGCAUGGAAUAAUAAAAUAGGAUUUUAGUUCUACGUUAUUGGUUUUAAGAACUAAAUUAAUGAUUGAUAGGAGCAGUUGGGGGCAUUUGUAUUUAACUGUC